AAGGGCUAGGAAUGUGGCUCAGUGGUUAAGUGCCCCUUGGUUAAAUCCCCACUACCCCCACCUCAAAAAAAAAAAAGUACAGGAUUAGACCCAAAUUUAUAUGGAAAACUACAGAUGACAAAUCAUUAGGAAAAAAAGUAGACUUUUUCUUUUUUUCUCUUAUUGAGGUAAUAUAUGCAUGAUAUAGUAGUCAUCUUUUUAACCAUUUCUAAGUGUAUAAUUCUAUGGCAUUGAAAACAUUUUAAUGUUUGUACCUAUCACCACUGUUUAUACUCAAAAUUUUUUUUGCAUUCCCAACAUAAUUUCUGUACCCAGUAAACAGUCUCCCCUUGCCUUACUCCUUCCUGCCCCUGAUAAUCUCUAUUCUUCUUUCUCUCUCUGAUUUUGGCUACUCUAGGGACUUAACAUAAGUGGAAUCAUACAAUAUUUGUCUUUUUGUGUCUGGCUUAUUUCACUGUGUAUUAUGUUUCUAAGGUCCAUCUAUAUUGUAGCAAAUAUCAGAAUUUCAUUUUUAAAUGGCUGGAUAAUAUUCUAUUGUAUAGACACAUUGUGAAUGCCUCUGAUGCUGAACAUCAUUAUACAAGUUUCUGUUUGAGUCUCUACUUUCAAUUCUUUUAGAUAUAUGGUGGGAGUGGAACUGCUGGAUCAUAUGGUAUUACAUGUUCAAAUUUUUUGAGGUGCACCAUUUUACUUUCCUGCAAAUAAUAUAUGAAAGUUCCAAUUUUUCCAUAUCCCAAUAUUUGUUAUUUUCCUUUUUUUUCUGUAAUGGGGAUUGAACCCAUAAGUUCAACUAACAAAUAAUAUUUAAUAGUGUUAUUAAAUUAUUAUAAAUAAUAUUUAUUAAUAUAAAUGCUGUAAUAUAGUCAAUAAAUGCAUUUCUCAUAGGGAUAUGAAUUAGAGAUUCUGAAACUAUAUAUGUACUAAAAUUGCACAUAGGUAAAUAUAUUUUAGAUAAGAACUGGGUGUCUUACAAAUAAUGAAAAGGGCAACUAAAAUAAACUGUAUUGGGUUGAAAUUUGAGAUAGUCUGU
rnacentral:lncRNA from 1 species